GUGACCAGGAGGUCACGGGUUCGAGCCCAGGAAACAGCCUCUUGCAGAAAUGCAAGGUAAGGCUGCGUACAAUAGACCCUUGUGGUCUGGCCCUUCCCUGGACCCCGGGCAUAGCAGGAGCUUAGUGCACCGGGCUGCCCUUUAGUAGCUGCAGAUGUUUGAGUAUGCAGAGAUCUUGAACCUCAUUUUGGUAACUGCCACUUUUCCUGAUAGAAAUUAAAAGACUUGUUUUGAGCCCGCUGUUGCCUUCAGAGUAAUUUUCUGUUUGCUGCUUUCCAUGUCUUAUUUUUCUUCUUUCUUUUUUGAGAAAUAUUAAAGUGGGUGCAGGCAUUGCUACGCUGCUUUUCGUUCAUGCAAUUUAUUUCAGUAAAUUUGUAUUUUGACUGUCAAAAUUGACUUAUUUUUCUCCUUUAUGUUUGGACAGAUUUCAAAUAAAGUUGGCUCUACUAAAGAUCCUCCAGAUAUUGCAUAUGGUCGUGAUCUAAGCUGCCAUAGUUUCUCUAGGAAAAGAAAUAAUGGCUCAAUUUCCUUGUUUUUCCAUUGAACGCAUUCUUAUUUUUUGGGGGUAACUUGAACACAUUCUUAUUAUUUUGAUAAUUCCUACUUUUUCUUUUACCUCUAGAAGACAAGAAAGUGGAUGUAUUGAGCUUGAUUGUUCUUGUUUUAAGUGAAUGACGUUGUUUUGACCUUC